rnacentral:rRNA from 1 species
UGGGGAAUUUUGGACAAUGGGGGAAACCCUGAUCCAGCCAUCCCGCGUGUGCGAUGAAGGCCUUCGGGUUGUAAAGCACUUUUGGCAGGAAAGAAACGUCAUGGGUUAAUACCCCGUGAAACUGACGGUACCUGCAGAAUAAGCACCGGCUAACUACGUGCCAGCAGCCGCGGUAAUACGUAGGGUGCAAGCGUUAAUCGGAAUUACUGGGCGUAAAGCGUGCGCAGGCGGUUCGGAAAGAAAGAUGUGAAAUGCCAGAGCUGAACAUUGGAACUGCAUUUUUAACUACCGGGCUAGAGUGUAUCGGAGGGAGGUGGAAUUCCGGGUGUAGCAGUGAAAUGCGUAGAUAUGCGGAGGAACACCGAUGGCGAAGGCAGCCUCCUGGGAUAACACUGACGCUCAUGCACGAAAGCGUGGGGAGCAAACAGG